GAUGAACGCUGGCGGCGUGCCUAAUACAUGCAAGUCGAGCGAACGCACGAGAAGCUUUCUUCUCUGGGUUUAUCGGCGGACGGGUGAUUAACACAUGGUUAACCUACCUAUAAGACUGGGGUAACAUCGGGAAACCGUAUCUAAGACCGGAUGAUAUUUUGAACCGCAUUGUUCAAGAGUGAAAUACGGUCUUUCUGUCACUUAUAGAUGGCUCCGCGCUGCAUUAGCAAGUUGGUAAGGUAACGGCUUACCAAGGCAACGAUGCAUAGCCGACCUGAGAGGGUGAUCGGCAGCAGUGCAACUGAGACAAGGCGCAGCAUCCUACGGGAGGCAGCAGUAGGGAAUCUUCCGGAAUGGGCGAAAGGCUAAAGGAGCAACGCCGCGUGAGUGAUGAAGGUCUUUGGCUCGUAAAAAAUUGUUAUUAGGGAAGAAUAAAUGUGUAAGUACCGGUGCAAAUAUUGCAUGGACCGAAGAAGAAAGCCCCGGCUAACUACGU
rnacentral:rRNA from 1 species